GUUGGAAAAAAAAAAUUAGUUUUGACUUCUUUGAAAAAUGAAUGCACUCAAAAUUUCUGUAUUUAUUUAUUUAAGAUGUGCGCUUCUGUAUUUAAUUCCGUAUGUAGGAGGAGGAGGCCUCCGAUGUGUUGACUGUCGACAUUAUUUAUAUAACUGCAAUGUUAGCAGAGAUCUUUUGAACGCAGGACAUAAUGAAGAUAGUAUAGUGGAUUUACUACCAAAUGAGAAACCAGAUCGAACUUAUAAGAAAUGCUUAUUGCCCGGUAAAAAAGUAUCUGGGCCGAUUUUCAGUACUGUGUGUUCUGCUACCAAAGACAGAACCUGUGGCGUGUUAGAUACUCGUAGAAAUGUCCUUGUGAAAGGCAUCCAAUAUCAGUGUAGAUAUUGUGCUGCGCCUUGCAAAUGCAAGUUUCGUGGCGGAAAAGCAUCGAAUAUGAAAAAGGACGCUAAACUGAUUAUAUGUUCAAGCCUGUUUCUUUCUUUGACGUUAAUUAAUAAUCCGAUUUUAUAACAUAAAU